rnacentral:misc_RNA from 1 species
GAUGAAGAACGCAGCGAAAUGCGAUAAGUAGUGUGAAUUGCAGAAUUCAGUGAAUCAUCGAAUCUUUGAACGCACAUUGCGCCCUUUGGUAUUCCAAAGGGCAUGCCUGUUCGAGCGUCAUUUGUACCCUCAAGCUUUGCCUGGUGUUGGGCGUCUUGUCUCUAGCUUUGCUGGAGACUCGCCUUAAAGUAAUUGGCAGCCGGCCUACUGGUUUCGGAGCGCAGCACAAGUCGCACUCUCUAUCAGCAAAGGUCUAGCAUCCAUUAAGCCUUUUUUUCAACUUUUGACCUCGGAUCAGGUAGGGAUACCCGCUGAACUUAAGCAUAUCAAUAAGCGGAGGA